CAAGAAACAGAAGAGAGGGAU
rnacentral:miRNA from 1 species